GGGGACAUAACGUAAAAAUAUUCGUGCGCGAUUUUUUUUGUCUUGUAUAAAAUUUCUUCUACACUACAACUAUAUUUCUCUUGUACACCGCGCGCGUCAAAAAAAAAAAAAGAAACGAAAUAAAAACACGUCGUCGUAGUCGCCGUCGUUGAAGUUAUAUUUUUAAGCAAAUCAAGCGGGACUUGUUCACAUACGAAAAAAAAAACAUAACAACAACAGUUAAAAAAAAACUUCUUGUAUAUUAUUUCAUUUGGAAAGGUAAAAACAUACAUACAGCGAGCUGCGGUGCUGUUACAUUACAAGUCAACCUAGAUAUUUCGUCGUUGUCGUCGUCAUAAUAUCCAAUAUAUGUCACACUCGUAUAUGUGCAAUAAUAAUCACAAUAAUCAAGUUUGUCGUGUAUAAAAUAUCAGAAAAGCAUGUAAAGAAAGAAGAAAAUACACGUAAAAUAUCAAAAAAGUAAAAAAAAAGUGUAAAAAAAAGUGAGAAAGAAUAAAAAUAAAGAAGAAAAAAAAAGAAAGAAAUGUUGAAAUAAAAAAAAAGAAAAAAAAAUAUCUUGUGCUCCAUUUAUGAUUGUCAAACAAAAUUAUAAAGAAUCCACCAGAUGAUUUAUUACGUAUUUAUUUCACUAAAAUAAUACUCUGUGUGACAGUGAAACGCGUUGUAAACAAAUAUAUCGGAUUAACUUUACUUUACCGACUUGUGACAUUUUUAUUAUUCCGCAUCAUAUUCAACAGCAUCGAAAAUCCUCACGAAGAAAAAAAAAUUAACGGAAGGAAUCUUCUUACUAAAAUAUUCAUGAAAGUGCUGCAUGUAGAUCUAAAACAACAACAGCAUCCAUCAACAGACAACUUACUCACAGAUAUGACGUAAAUGUGCAAAUUGUGGAGAAGAAUAAUAAAAGACGAAAAGUGUGGAAAAAUGAAAGAAUUAUAUAACAAAUUUGAAUGAAACAAAGAUAAAAAAAAAAGUAAAAUAUCUCUUUAAAUGUGACAUAUACGCGAAAAUUUUUGUGAAAGAAAAAAAAUCAUUAAAAGAGGAAAAACAAGUGAAAAGAAUUUAGAAACAAAGGCUGGAAAAGUACUUUAUUCUGCGCCAUAUCAUCUUGAAAUUUUUGCCAUAUCACCAAACACACACAUUUUCCCAAAAAGUAAUUUCGAAUCACAUUCCCAUUGUCACCCGUGUCCAAAAUUGUACGCAACAGUAGCAGAGUUUUUUUUUCGAAAGAUGAGCCGUGAAACAAUAAGCUUAGCAAAUGGAGGUCUGCAAUGUUAAGAUAACCAUUCAGCAUCCAUGUGAGAAGGAACCAACAACUACUCCGAGAAAUACGAACAACAACAAAAAUAUUAAAUGCUACAAAUUAAAUAAAAUCAUUGAUCAUACUUGGUGUUUAUCAAACGAACAUUCUAGCAGCGAUUCGAUACAAUGCUGCUCCACACGGAUAGCGUAUCAUCGUCGCCAAUACCGGGAACGAAUGUCGAUGCGAAUCCGCAUGCCAGUCUCUCGUAC